AAACUAACCAGGAUUCCCCUAGUAACGGCGAGUGAAGCGGGAUGAGCUCAAGCUUAAAAUCUCUGUGCCAGUUUGGCAUGGCGAAUUGUAGUCUAUAGAGGCGUUGUCAGUGCGGCUGUGCGGGGUAAGUUCCUUGGAAGAGGACAGCAUCGAGGGUGAUACUCCCGUUUGUACCUGUGCGGCUUGCGCGUACGACACGUUUUCUUCGAGUCGCGUUGUUUGGGACUGCAGCGCAAAGUAGGUGGUAAAUUCCAUCUAAAGCUAAAUAUUGGUGCGAGACCGAUAGCGAACAAGUACCGUGAGGGAAAGAUGAAAAGAACUUUGAAAAGAGAGUUAAAGAGUACCUGAAACUGCUGAAAGGGAAGCGAAUCGUAUCCAGUGUCUAUAAUCUGCGGCAUAUUUCAUUGGCGGCGGUGUGCGUGCUUUUGCGUCGGAAGCGGCUUUUGUUGCUCUGUGCUUUUGCUGUGCGUGCUGUUGCUGGUGCCCUGUGUUGCGGUGGGACGUCAGAGUCAGUUUGUAUGCUGCGGGAAAUGGCUGCCGAGGAGGUAGGUCAGGAUUUCGGUCUUGGCUGUUAUAUCUUGGUGGUUUGUUGUCGUGGUUGAGACUGAGGUGCCUACAAUGUGCUUUUGAGUGUGCCGGGUUCUCAUUUGGUGGACUGUUUGGAUAGCUUGCUAUGCUUGUGGUUUUUCAUCGGGUGAUUGAGUCUGGUGGUAACUUAUUGCCGUUCGGGACUUUGACGAAAUGGAGCGAUUCGGC
rnacentral:rRNA from 1 species